UACGAGGGGUGCAAGCGUUAAUCGGAAUUACUGGGCGUAAAGCGUGCGUAGGUGGUUAUUUAAGCAAGAUGUGAAAGCCCCGGGCUCAACCUGGGAACUGCAUUUUGAACUGGGUAACUAGAGUUUUGUAGAGGGUAGUGGAAUUUCCAGUGUAGCGGUGAAAUGCGUAGAGAUUGGAAGGAACAUCAGUGGCGAAGGCGGCUACCUGGACAGAGACUGACACUGAGGCACGAAAGCGUGGGGAGCAAAC
rnacentral:rRNA from 1 species